rnacentral:rRNA from 1 species
GCUUAUUAAAAACAUUACCCUGAACACACCCUGAUCUUGGAAGCUAAGCAGGGCCGGGCCUGGUUAGUACUUGGAUGGAAGACCACCGAGGAAGACCAGGUGCUAUAGGCA